rnacentral:rRNA from 1 species
AGUUUGAUCCUGGCUCAGGACGAACGCUGGCGGCGUGCCUAAUACAUGCAAGUCGAGCGGAUCUUUCCUUCGGGAAAGGUUAGCGGCGGACGGGUGAGUAACACGUAGGCAACCUGCCUGUAAGAUCGGGAUAACUCACGGAAACGUGUGCUAAAACCGGAUAGGUGAUUUCUCCUCCUGGAGAGAUCAGGAAAGACGGCGCAAGCUGUCACUUACAGAUGGGCCUGCGGCGCAUUAGCUAGUUGGUGAGGUAACGGCUCACCAAGGCGACGAUGCGUAGCCGACCUGAGAGGGUGAACGGCCACACUGGGACUGAGACACGGCCCAGACUCCUACGGGAGGCAGCAGUAGGGAAUCUUCGGCAAUGGACGAAAGUCUGACCGAGCAACGCCGCGUGAGUGAUGAAGGUUUUCGGAUCGUAAAACUCUGUUGCCAGGGAAGAAGGAUGAGGAGAGUAACUGCUCUUCAUUUGACGGUACCUGAGAAGAAAGCCCCGGCUAACUACGUGCCAGCAGCCGCGGUAAUACGUAGGGGGCAAGCGUUGUCCGGAAUUAUUGGGCGUAAAGCGCGCGCAGGCGGUCUUUUAAGUUCGGUGUUUAAACCCAGGGCUCAACCUUGGGUCGCAUCGGGAACUGGGAGACUGGAGUGUAGGAGAGGAAAGUGGAAUUCCACGUGUAGCGGUGAAAUGCG